ACGAAACGAAACGAAAUCUGCACUUUGCGAAACUGUAAUUUGCGAAAUCUGCAGUUUGCGAAAUCUGCAGUUUGCGAAAUCUCUAGAUAGUUUGCUAUUCAAAUUUGCAGUUUGCGAAAACAUAGAGCAGAAAGUCAAAAAAAUGUUGACCUUUUCGAAAGUUUUCGAUGCGAUCACCAUCAUUUUUAUGUCAAACCUCGCGGCUGCGAUCCACUUGACCAUCUGAAG